rnacentral:rRNA from 1 species
GACAGAGGGGGCAAGCGUUGCUCGGAAUUACUGGGCGUAAAGGGCGCGUAGGCGGGAUGGCAAGUCGGUCGUGAAAUCCCUCGGCUCAACCGAGGAACGUCGAUCGAUACUGCUGUUCUUGAGGAUUGCAGAGGAGACUGGAAUUCCCGGUGUAGCGGUGAAAUGUGUAGAGAUCGAUAGGAACCCCGGUGGCGAAGGCGGCAUACUGGAUCACUUCUGACGCUGAGGCGCGAAAGCCAGGGGAGCGAACGGG